rnacentral:rRNA from 1 species
GGAUUUGCUCAUUGGUCAGGCUUAACUGUCUGUACUGGUGUAAUGAAUUCCUACCUUCUGAUGAAUCUUCAUGCCAUUUACUUGGUGCGUAGGGGAAUCAGGACUGUUACUUUGAAAAAUUAGAGUGUUUAAAGCAGGCUAUUGCUCGAAUACAUUAGCAUGGAAUAAUAGAAUAGGACGGUCGUUUCUAUUUUAUUGGUUUCUAGGAUCACCGUAAUGA